rnacentral:rRNA from 1 species
AUGAACGCUGGCGGCGUGCCUAAUACAUGCCAGUCGAGCGAACGGACGAGAAGCUUGCUUUUCUGAUGUUAGCGGCGGACGGGUGAGUAACACGUGGAUAACCUACCUAUAAGACUGGGAUAACUUCGGGAAACCGGAGCUAAUACCGGAUAAUAUUUUGAACCGCAUGGUUCAAAAGUGAAAGACGGUCUUGCUGUCACUUAUAGAUGGAUCCGCGCUGCAUUAGCUAGUUGGUAAGGUAACGGCUUACCAAGGCAACGAUGCAUAGCAGACCUGAGAGGGUGAUCGGCCACACUGGAACUGAGACACGGUCCAGACUCCUACGGGAGGCAGCAGUAGGGAAUCUUCCGCAAUGGGCGAAAGCCUGACGGAGCAACGCCGCGUGAGUGAUGAAGGUCUUCGGAUCGUAAAACUCUGUUAUUAGGGAAGAACAUAUGUGUAAGUAACUGUGCACAUCUUGACGGUACCUAAUCAGAAAGCCACGGCUAACUACGUG